GACGAACCGUGCGAACGUUGUUCGGAAUCACUGGGCUUAAAGGGCGCGUAGGCGGGCCGGCCGGUCGGAGGUGAAAGCCCCCAGCUCAACUGGGGAAGCGCCCCCGAUACCGCCGGCCUGGAGGGGGGUAGGGGCGUGCGGAACUUCCGGUGGAGCGGUGAAAUGCGUAGAUAUCGGAAGGAACACCGGUGGCGAAGGCGGCACGCUGGGCCCGCCCUGACGCUGAGACGCGAAAGCGUGGGGAGCGAACAGG
rnacentral:rRNA from 1 species